rnacentral:rRNA from 1 species
UAGCCUUGACAUUGAAGAAAUAGACCAGAGAUGGACUAGUGCCCUUCGGGGAAUCUGAAAACAGGUGCUGCACGGCUGUCGUCAGCUCGUGUCGUGAGAUGUUGGGUUAAGUCCCGCAACGAGCGCAACCCUCGUCAAUAGUUGCCAGCAGGUUAAGCUGGGCACUCUAUUGAGACUGCCUUCGCAAGGAGGAGGAAGGUGAGGACGACGUCAAGUCAUCAUGGCCCUUAUGGCUAGGGCUACACACGUGCUACAAUGGGGCGUACAGAGUGUUGCGAUACCGCGAGGUGGAGCCAAUCACUUAAAGCGUCUCUCAGUUCGGAUUGGAGUCUGCAACUCGACUCCAUGAAGCUGGAAUCACUAGUAAUCGUAGAUCAGCAAUGCUACGGUGAAUACGUUCCCGGGUCU